rnacentral:rRNA from 1 species
GACGAACGCUGGCGGCGUGCCUAACACAUGCAAGUCGAACGGAAAGGCCCUGCUUUUGUGGGGUGCUCGAGUGGCGAACGGGUGAGUAACACGUGAGUAACCUGCCCUUGACUUUGGGAUAACUUCAGGAAACUGGGGCUAAUCCCGGAUAGGAGCUCCCGCUGCAUGGUGGGGGUUGGAAAGUUUAGGCGGUUGGGGAUGGACUCGCGGCUUAUCAGCUUGGUGGUGGGGUAGUGGCUUACCAAGGCCUUGACCGGUAGCCGGCCUGAGAGGGUGACCGGCCACAUUAGGACUGAGAUACGGCCCAGACUCCAACGGGAGGCAACGGUGGAGAAUAUUACACAAUGGGCGGAAGCCUGAUGCAGCAACGCCGCGUGCGGGAAGACGGCCUGCGGGUUGUAAACCGCUGUCGCCUGUGACGAAGCGUGAGUGACGGUAAUGGGUGAAGAAGCACCGGCUAACUACGUG